rnacentral:lncRNA from 1 species
GGUGGGAUGAUGAUUGGCUGAAUUAUUGGUUCUAUGUUAAAGUGGAGAUGAACAAUGGAGAUAGCAAAUUGGUCUAUCCCUUCUAUAUGACUAUACGUCCCAUGGACGUUGCUAUGACUCCACCGGUUGUCAGGUCCAAGAUGGUUAAGAAAUGUGAGAGUGCCUUUACUGCAGCUUCGGGCUCUGUGUCUGGGCGGGACUUG